rnacentral:rRNA from 1 species
AUGAGGGUAGCGUUAUCGGAAUUMUGGGCGUAAGCGCACGCAGGCGGUCUGUUAAGUCAGAUGUGAAAUCCCCGGGUCUUAACCUGGGAACUGCAUUUGAAACUGGCAGGCUUGAGUCUUGUAGAGGGGGGUAGAAUUCCAGGUGUAGMGGUGAAAUGCGUAGAGAUCUGGAGGAAUACCGGUGGCGAAGGCGGCCCCCUGGUACWAAGACUSACGMUCAGGUGCGAAAGMGUGGGGAGCAAACAGGAUUAGAUACCCUGGUAGUCCACGCCGUAAACGAUGUCGACUUGGAGGUUGUUCCCUUGAGGAGUGGCUUCCGGAGCUAACGCGUUAAGUCGACCGCCUGGGGAGUACGKCCGCAAGGUUAAAACUCAAAUGAAUUGAUCGGGGGCCCGCACAAGCGGUGGAGCAUGUGGUUUAAUUCGAUGCAACGCGAAGAACCUUACCUACUCUURACAUCCASGGAAUUGGCAGAGAUGCYUAGGCUUCAGACGCCGUGAGACAGGUGCUGCAUGGCUGUMGUCAGCUCGUGUUGUGAAAUGUUGGGUUAAGUCCCGCAAUCGAGCGCAACCCUUAUCCUUUGUUGCCAGCGAUUCGGUSGGGMACUCAAAGGAGUCUGCCGGUGAUAAACCGGMGGAAGGUGGGGAUGACGUCAAGUCAUUCAUGGCCCUUACGAGUAGGGCUACACACGUGACUACACAUGGCUGCAUAUCAAAGAGAAGCGACCUCAGCGAGAGCAACGCGGACCUCACAAAUGUGAUGUMGUAGUGUCGGAUGYKGAGUAUUGCGAGUUCGACCUCUGURAAGUCGGGAAUCGUGUAGUAAUCUGUKGAUCAGAAUGUCCGCGGUGAAUCACGUUGCMYRGGCUNUUGUACACACUCGMCAGUCACACCCCAUGGGACUCGKGUURCACUAGAGRAGUCAGKUAGCUUAAKCGUUCCGGGAGGGCGYGUCACCAGG